AUACGGAGGGUGCAAGCGUUAUUCGGAAUCACUGGGCGUAAAGGACGCGUAGGCGGGUUGGCAAGUCAGAUGUGAAAUCCUACAGCUUAACUGUAGAACUGCAUUUGAAACUGCUAACCUAGAGUAUGGGAGGGGGAGAUGGAACUAGUGGUGUAGGGGUAAAAUCCGUAGAUAUCACUAGGAAUACCGAAAGCGAAGGCGAUCUCCUGGAACAUAACUGACGCUAAGGCGUGAAAGCGUGGGGAGCAAACAGGAUUAGAAACCCUAGUAGUCC
rnacentral:rRNA from 1 species